UACGUAGGGGGCAAGCGUUGUCCGGAUUUAUUGGGCGGAAAGAGCGUGUAGGCGGUUUGGUAGGUCCGCUGUGAAAACUCGAGGCUCAACCUCGAGACGCCGGUGGAAACCAUCAGACUAGAGUCCGGAAGAGGAGAGUGGAAUUCCUGGUGUAGCGGUGAAAUGCGUAGAUAUCGGGAGGAACACCAGUGGCGAAGGCGACUACCUGGCCUGUUCUUGACGCUGAGGCGCGAAAGCUAGGGGAGCAAACGGG
rnacentral:rRNA from 1 species